rnacentral:lncRNA from 11 species
ACUUGACUGUAGGUCCUGCAAGCUGAGCCUAAGAGCCAUCGAGUACUCGAUUGUAGGCCCAGCAGGCAGGAUAGAAAUCUUUGUUUUUUUCAGACCUUUGAUGGAAAAGCCCAUUUGCAUAAAUGCCCAUUUUCCUAAGCGGUGGACGGAAAUGGAAAUGCAGCCAUAUGAAUGAUACAAAUAGGAACAUCAUGAAUUCCAGCAUUACAUCAUCACCCCCCAAUAAAGUACCAACUGCUUUGACUCCAGUGACCAACUCCUCUCUAUGUAAGGAUUAAAUCCAGGAUUGCUGAUCUCUUUGUACCUUCUUCCACAUUUUGAAAAAGGAAAUUCUCUGUAAGGCACAUCAGGA